UUUUGUUUUAAAGGAUUUGUUCAGGAAUUGUGUAUCCUGAAACAGCAACAGUUUGUGCAUAUAAGGAACUGCCGUGAGUCCCAAGACAUUCUCCUGAGCUGUCACUUUCAUGAUCCUGGCUAUUCGGGACUUUGAGGUGGCAUACAAUGACCUAAGCCACUAUGGCAAGGGCUAAUACUGCUUUUCUCAGCUGAAACUAUGUGACGCUUUCUUUUUUUUUUUUUCCUUUUGAUUUUUUACCCCCUUUUGAUUUGCAGUUACCUGAAGUGCUUGCAAUAAGGCUUAUCAGAACAAUGUCUGGGUGAAAGCAGUAGGACACUGUACAGUGUGUGGCAAGGGGAGAUGCUCCAGCCUUUUAAUCAACUUGGUGUUCCUCCUCUGGACUUGCCCCAACAGGUCAAUGUCCUUCCUGUGCUCAUGACCCAGAGCUGGAUGCCGUACUCCAGGACUGCAGCACUGUUGGAAGAUCCAGCUGGUGAAAGCCAUCUAAGCCCCUGAUGCAGUGAAACUUGUGAUUAGGAUGCCAUUAAAGCAUGUCCUGCCUGCCAUGACGGUUUGCCAGCCGAAACAUCAGGCCUUGAGCAUCUCAAGGUGCCCCUUCAUAGCCACGUUCCUCGGGCACGUCCCCAGGCCUGAUCUGCUCUUAUCUGUAGAAAAUGUGGAGACGGCGACAGCGCUUGAAAUGUUUCCUGGGAGCUGUUAGAGCCCUGGAAUGUGGCACUUCCACGAGCAGAUCGCCACCACGUGGCUUUUUCUGCUGCCUGCACCCGCGGCUGCUCAGCCAAACCCUGCUCUUUGUCCAUGCACCGUGCUGCUGUGGAGCACUUUUCUGUUUUAAGGAAGAAUUUAUGUAGGAAUUGCAUACCCUGAAGUAACAACACUUGGUGUGUGUAGGGAGACCUUGGAAGAGCUGCCAUGACUCCCAAGAGAGUCUCCUAAGAUGAGGUAUCAAUUUGUUUGGAGUUUAACCUCAAGCUUCCCCUCAAAGCAUUUAGGCAGGGCAGAAAUGGGAGAUAUAUGCUGAGACCUUAACUCGCAAGAGCUUUGCAGGAAUGUGGAAGCGCUUUCUGGCACUCGAGGGGUCUGGCUUGGGUAUGUGUGAUCGGCUUUGGCACAUGAUGUGUGACAGAGUGGCACAACUCCUCUUCAACAGAGUAUUUUGGCAUGGAGGGAUGGGUAACCUCUGGGAAGCGGACAGGGGGAUGCCACGGAAACUUGUCUGAUGUGGGAGACCAAAGGGUUCCCUUGCAGGCUGUGUUUCUGUCCAUUCUGUAGUCUAAAGCUAUCUCAUGGGCUCUACAUCAUCUCCAGCUAACCACAGGCAAACCAUUUGCCCCCUGUAAGCCAGCUGGCAUUUCCUAAUUCAUAUGGAAAUCCUCAUUGUCCAGGAGCAUGAACAGCAGUUCUUGGCAUGUAUUGUCCCCUAAUAGCAGCCAGAGCUGCAGGAACCUGAGAACUCCCCCAGAACCUUGCAGUGGAUGCCGUUCACACUUGGGAAAGGUGGGUCAGGCAGUACAGCUCCACAUGGAGGAAAAGUGAGAUGGCUUCUCUACAUCAGGCCUUCUACAGGUGACAGUGGUGUGUGUACUGAUGUACUACAGUCAGCUGCAAGGGAUGGGACAGUGCUUGUAUUGCCAGGUGUGAAAAAUGCGUAUUUUAUGACUGGUUCUUCACAAAUAUUAAAAUGAAUAUUAUAUGUGUUACGUUAGAAAGUUAUGCUGUAUUAAUUUUUUUAGUAGUGUGUUAAAUAUAGUUUUAGGUUAUAACAUAAUGUUAAAAUAGAAAUUAUGCUAUGUAAGAUACUUUUUUUAAAGAGAGGACUCGCACUGAAAUAGCAGCUGCAGGACACCUAAAUCUUUCAGAGAAAAAGAAUUUAUUGCUCUCUUAUCAGAAGAAACGAACAUCUGCCCACCUCGCUCAGCCCUGAAGAUGCCUCAGGAUGAAGAGGAAGAAGUUGACACUGACCAGACAGAAUGCUUUGUUUGAAUGGAAUUUAUGCAUCAAGUAUGAGAUAUAUGAACAGGCUAUUACUUUUAAUGGUUAAUCCUCUGUUAACGUGUGUCCUUUUUGGGGCUUAUUUUGCCCAGAAAGAGGUACCCGGACCAUCUGUAACUCUUAGUUCUUAUUGUCUCAUAUUGUCCUAAUCCAAACUGUCCAAAUUUUUUACUACUAUAAUUAUAUUUCUAUUUUUAUAACCAUUUUAUUACUAUUAAACUUUUAAAAUUUUAAAAACAAGUGAUUGGCGCUUU